GGAGAAUCUGGCGUGUGGCCUCAUGUCCUGUUUGAAACCUGAUGUUUUGGUGGCUGUGAUGAGAGCUUUAUGGCCUCUGGAGGAGAAUUGGCAACCAGUGUGAUCAUUUCGUCCUCGGCAAGUUGCAACUGUUUCACAGUGAUGCAUAUGGCAUUCCCAGGCCAGGAUCAGAUCUGAGCCACAG